AAGUCGUAACAAGGUAUCCGUAGGUGAACCUGCGGAUGGAUCAUUAAUACCAAAACAGCUAACGUGCUUCAACCACACGUUACUAACCCCAAACCUGUGCACCGUUUUAUAACGAUUGUGUAUCGAGACACUUGCGUGUUUACCGGGAGCUCUUUUCGGAGAGAUUUGCUGUGAAAUAUUCAGCAUCUGGUCUUUCAAACUCGAGAAAGAGAAAGACCCAUUCCCUCGUCGGAACUCGGCCCAGUGUUGCUUGAGAUACACACCUUUUUUUAACAAUCUUUCUCACUUUUAUUAACCCAUUGAACCUUUUUUAACUAACUGUUGUACUAAACGUUUUCAUUAAAACUUGUGUUGACCAUUAAAAGCUUGCUUUUUUUGCGACAGCAUGAAAUUAAGAAACGCUCGAACAACUCUUAGCAACGGAUAUCUAGGUUCUC
rnacentral:misc_RNA from 1 species